AACCGGGAGAUAGCUGGUUCUCCCCGAAAGCUAUUUAGGUAGCGCCUCGUGAAUUCAUCUCCGGGGGUAGAGCACUGUUUCGGCUAGGGGGCCAUCCCGGCUUACCAACCCGAUGCAAACUGCGAAUACCGGAGAAUGUUAUCACGGGAGACACACGGCGGGUGCUAACGUCCGUCGUGAAGAGGGAAACAACCCAGACCGCCAGCUAAGGUCCCAAAGUCAUGGUUAAGUGGGAAACGAUGUGGGAAGGCCCAGACAGCCAGGAUGUUGGCUUAGAAGCAGCCAUCAUUUAAAGAAAGCGUAAUAGCUCACUGGUCGAGUCGGCCUGCGCGGAAGAUGUAACGGGGCUAAACCAUGCACCGAAGCUGCGGCAGCGACACUGUGUGUUGUUGGGUAGGGGAGCGUUCUGUAAGCCUGUGAAGGUGUGUCGUGAGGCAUGCUGGAGGUAUCAGAAGUGCGAAUGCUGACAUAAGUAACGAUAAAGCGGGUGAAAAGCCCGCUCGCCGGAAGACCAAGGGUUCCUGUCCAACGUUAAUCGGGGCAGGGUGAGUCGACCCCUAAGGCGAGGCCGAAAGGCGUAGUCGAUGGGAAACGGGUUAAUAUUCCCGUACUUGGUGUUACUGCGAAGGGGGGACGGAGAAGGCUAUGUUGGCCGGG
rnacentral:rRNA from 1 species